rnacentral:rRNA from 1 species
AUUGAACGCUGGCGGCAGGCCUAACACAUGCAAGUCGAGCGGAUGAAGGGAGCUUGCUCCUGGAUUCAGCGGCGGACGGGUGAGUAAUGCCUAGGAAUCUGCCUGGUAGUGGGGGAUAACGUCCGAAAACGGGCGCUAAUACCGCAUACGUCCUGAGGGAGAAAGUGGGGGAUCUUCGGACCUCACGCUAUCAGAUGAGCCUAGGUCGGAUUAGCUAGUUGGUGGGGUAAAGGCCUACCAAGGCGACGAUCCGUAACUGGUCUGAGAGGAUGAUCAGUCACACUGGAACUGAGACACGGUCCAGACUCCUACGGGAGGCAGCAGUGGGGAAUAUUGGACAAUGGGCGAAAGCCUGAUCCAGCCAUGCCGCGUGUGUGAAGAAGGUCUUCGGAUUGUAAAGCACUUUAAGUUGGGAGGAAGGGCAGUAAGUUAAUACCUGGCUGUUUUGACGGUACCAACAGAAUAAGCACCGGCUAACUUCGUG